rnacentral:rRNA from 1 species
GGGUUGUGAGGUUAAGCGACUAAGCGUACACGGUGGAUGCCCUGGCAGUCAGAGGCGAUGAAGGACGUGCUAAUCUGCGAUAAGCGUCGGUAAGGUGAUAUGAACCGUUAUAACCGGCGAUUUCCGAAUGGGGAAACCCAGUGUGAUUCGUCACACUAUCAUUAACUGAAUCCAUAGGUUAAUGAGGCGAACCGGGGGAACUGAAACAUCUAAGUACCCCGAGGAAAAGAAAUCAACCGAGAUUCCCCCAGUAGCGGCGAGCGAACGGGGAGGAGCCCAGAGCCUGAAUCAGUGUGUGUGUUAGUGGAAGCGUCUGGAAAGGCGCGCGAUACAGGGUGACAGCCCCGUACACAAAAAUGCACAUACUGUGAGCUCGAUGAGUAGGGCGGGACACGUGGUAUCCUGUCUGAAUAUGGGGGGACCAUCCUCCAAGGCUAAAUACUCCUGACUGACCGAUAGUGAACCAGUACCGUGAGGGAAAGGCGAAAAGAACCCCGGCGAGGGGAGUGAAAAAGAACCUGAAACCGUGUACGUACAAGCAGUGGGAGCACAGAGCAAUCUGUGUGACUGCGUACCUUUUGUAUAAUGGGUCAGCGACUUAUAUUCUGUAGCAAGGUUAACCGAAUAGGGGAGCCGAAGGGAAACCGAGUCUUAACUGGGCGUUAAGUUGCAGGGUAUAGACCCGAAACCCGGUGAUCUAGCCAUGGGCAGGUUGAAGGUUGGGUAACACUAACUGGAGGACCGAACCGACUAAUGUUGAAAAAUUAGCGGAUGACUUGUGGCUGGGGGUGAAAGGCCAAUCAAACCGGGAGAUAGCUGGUUCUCCCCGAAAGCUAUUUAGGUAGCGCCUCGUGAAUUCAUCUCCGGGGGUAGAGCACUGUUUCGGCAAGGGGGUCAUCCCGACUUACCAACCCGAUGCAAACUGCGAAUACCGGAGAAUGUUAUCACGGGAGACACACGGCGGGUGCUAACGUCCGUCGUGAAGAGGGAAACAACCCAGACCGCCAGCUAAGGUCCCAAAGUCAUGGUUAAGUGGGAAACGAUGUGGGAAGGCCCAGACAGCCAGGAUGUUGGCUUAGAAGCAGCCAUCAUUUAAAGAAAGCGUAAUAGCUCACUGGUCGAGUCGGCCUGCGCGGAAGAUGUAACGGGGCUAAACCAUGCACCGAAGCUGCGGCAGCGACACUGUGUGUUGUUGGGUAGGGGAGCGUUCUGUAAGCCUGUGAAGGUGUGCUGUGAGGCAUGCUGGAGGUAUCAGAAGUGCGAAUGCUGACAUAAGUAACGAUAAAGCGGGUGAAAAGCCCGCUCGCCGGAAGACCAAGGGUUCCUGUCCAACGUUAAUCGGGGCAGGGUGAGUCGACCCCUAAGGCGAGGCCGAAAGGCGUAGUCGAUGGGAAACAGGUUAAUAUUCCUGUACUUGGUGUUACUGCGAAGGGGGGACGGAGAAGGCUAUGUUGGCCGGGCGACGGUUGUCCCGGUUUAAGCGUGUAGGCUGGUUUUCCAGGCAAAUCCGGAAAAUCAAGGCUGAGGCGUGAUGACGAGGCACUACGGUGCUGAAGCAACAAAUGCCCUGCUUCCAGGAAAAGCCUCUAAGCAUCAGGUAACAUCAAAUCGUACCCCAAACCGACACAGGUGGUCAGGUAGAGAAUACCAAGGCGCUUGAGAGAACUCGGGUGAAGGAACUAGGCAAAAUGGUGCCGUAACUUCGGGAGAAGGCACGCUGAUAUGUAGGUGAAGUCCCUCGCGGAUGGAGCUGAAAUCAGUCGAAGAUACCAGCUGGCUGCAACUGUUUAUUAAAAACACAGCACUGUGCAAACACGAAAGUGGACGUAUACGGUGUGACGCCUGCCCGGUGCCGGAAGGUUAAUUGAUGGGGUCAGCGCAAGCGAAGCUCUUGAUCGAAGCCCCGGUAAACGGCGGCCGUAACUAUAACGGUCCUAAGGUAGCGAAAUUCCUUGUCGGGUAAGUUCCGACCUGCACGAAUGGCGUAAUGAUGGCCAGGCUGUCUCCACCCGAGACUCAGUGAAAUUGAACUCGCUGUGAAGAUGCAGUGUACCCGCGGCAAGACGGAAAGACCCCGUGAACCUUUACUAUAGCUUGACACUGAACAUUGAGCCUUGAUGUGUAGGAUAGGUGGGAGGCUUUGAAGUGUGGACGCCAGUCUGCAUGGAGCCGACCUUGAAAUACCACCCUUUAAUGUUUGAUGUUCUAACGUGGACCCGUGAUCCGGGUUGCGGACAGUGUCUGGUGGGUAGUUUGACUGGGGCGGUCUCCUCCUAAAGAGUAACGGAGGAGCACGAAGGUUGGCUAAUCCUGGUCGGACAUCAGGAGGUUAGUGCAAUGGCAUAAGCCAGCUUGACUGCGAGCGUGACGGCGCGAGCAGGUGCGAAAGCAGGUCAUAGUGAUCCGGUGGUUCUGAAUGGAAGGGCCAUCGCUCAACGGAUAAAAGGUACUCCGGGGAUAACAGGCUGAUACCGCCCAAGAGUUCAUAUCGACGGCGGUGUUUGGCACCUCGAUGUCGGCUCAUCACAUCCUGGGGCUGAAGUAGGUCCCAAGGGUAUGGCUGUUCGCCAUUUAAAGUGGUACGCGAGCUGGGUUUAGAACGUCGUGAGACAGUUCGGUCCCUAUCUGCCGUGGGCGCUGGAGAACUGAGGGGGGCUGCUCCUAGUACGAGAGGACCGGAGUGGACGCAUCACUGGUGUUCGGGUUGUCAUGCCAAUGGCACUGCCCGGUAGCUAAAUGCGGAAGAGAUAAGUGCUGAAAGCAUCUAAGCACGAAACUUGCCCCGAGAUGAGUUCUCCCUGACCCUUUAAGGGUCCUGAAGGAACGUUGAAGACGACGACGUUGAUAGGCCGGGUGUGUAAGCGCAGCGAUGCGUUGAGCUAACCGGUACUAAUGAACCGUGAGGCUUAACCUUACAACGCCGAAGGUGUUU